rnacentral:rRNA from 1 species
UACGAAGGGGGCUAGCGUUGUUCGGAAUUACUGGGCGUAAAGGGCGCGUAGGCGGUGUGUCAAGUCAGGCGUGAAAGCCCCGGGCUCAACCUGGGAACCGCGCUUGAGACUGGCACGCUAGAGUUCGGGAGAGGAUGGUGGAAUUCCCAGUGUAGAGGUGAAAUUCGUAGAUAUUGGGAAGAACACCGAUGGCGAAGGCAGCCAUCUGGACCGACACUGACGCUGAGGCGCGAAAGCGUGGGGGAGCAAAACAGG